rnacentral:rRNA from 1 species
CCUACGGGAGGCAGCAGUAGGGAAUAUUGGGCAAUGGGCGCAAGCCUGACCCAGCAACGCCGCGUGAAGGAAGAAGGCUUUCGGGUUGUAAACUUCUUUUCUCAGGGACGAAGCAAGUGACGGUCCCUGAAGAAUAAGCCGCGGCUAACUACGUGCCAGCAGCCGCGGUAAUACGUAGGUGGCAAGCGUUAUCCGGAUUUACUGGGUGUAAAGGGCGUGUAGGCGGGAAAGCAAGUCAGAUGUGAAAACCAUGGGCUCAACCUGUGGCCUGCAUUUGAAACUGUUUUUCUUGAGUACUGGAGAGGCAGACGGAAUUCCUAGUGGAGCGGUGAAAUGCGUAGAUAUUAGGAGGAACACCAGUGGCGAAGGCGGUCUGCUGGACAGCAACUGACGCUGAGGCGCGAAAGCGUGGGGAGCAAACAGGAUUAGAUACCCUAGUAGUC